UACGGGGGGGGCAAGCGUUGUUCGGAAUUACUGGGCGUAAAGGGCGCGUAGGCGGCCUUCUAAGUCGGACGUGAAAUCCCUCGGCUUAACCGAGGAACUGCGUCCGAUACUGAAAGGCUUGAAUCCGGGAGAGGGAUGUGGAAUUCCAGGUGUAGCGGUGAAAUUCGUAGAUAUUGGGAAGAACACCGGUGGCGAAGGCGGCGACCUGGUCCUUGACUGACGCUGAGGCGCGAAAGCGUGGGGAGCAAACAGG
rnacentral:rRNA from 1 species